ensembl:misc_RNA 7SK 7SK RNA
GGAUGUGAGUGUGAUCUGGCUGUGACAUCUGUCACCCCACUGAUCGCCUGGAUUGAUUGGGCUCCAGUUUGUCUGGCUGGCUAGGCUGUGUCCCCUUCCUCCCUCACCACUCCAUGUGCAACACUCCUGAAGAUGUGUGCCCCUCCCAAAGAUGCAAGCCUUCCUCCAAUAGAGACAGACCCAUCAUCUGUUGAGGGUAUAUGAAUAGUUGCACUCCCCUGCUAGGCCCUCCAAACAAGCUCUCAAGGUCCAUUUGUAGGAGAAUGUAGGGUAGUCAAGCUCUCAAGACUCCAGACACAUCCAAAUGAGGCACUGCAUGUGGCAGUCUGCCUUUCUUU